rnacentral:tRNA from 2 species
GGCCUUAUGGUCUAGUCGUAUGAUUCUCCCUUUGGGUGUUCCAGUCUCGCAAGAUUCCGGGAGUAACUCAAGGCUGGGAGAGGUCUCGGGUUCAAUUCCCGAUGAGGCCC